UACGUAGGCAGCAAGCGUUGUUCGGAAUUACUGGGCGUAAAGAGCGUGUAGGCGGCCCGGUAAGUCCGCUGUGAAAGUCGGGGGCUCAACCCUCGAAUGCCGGUGGAUACUGUCGGGCUAGAGUGCGGAAGAGGCGAGUGGAAUUCCUGGUGUAGCGGUGAAAUGCGCAGAUAUCAGGAGGAACACCGAUUGCGAAGGCAGCUCGCUGGGACGUAACUGACGCUGAGACGCGAAAGCGUGGGGAGCAAACAGG
rnacentral:rRNA from 1 species